GAGGGUAUUGCUCAGUGGAAGAGCGCGUGCUUGGCACACACAAGGUCCUGGGUUUAGUCCCCAGUCCCUUCA
rnacentral:tRNA from 1 species